rnacentral:rRNA from 1 species
UACGUAGGGUGCAAGCGUUGUCCGGAAUUAUUGGGCGUAAAGAGCUCGUAGGCGGUCUGUCGCGUCGGCUGUGAAAACCCGGGGCUCAACCCCGGGCCUGCAGUCGAUACGGGCAGACUAGAGUUCGGUAGGGGAGACUGGAAUUCCUGGUGUAGCGGUGAAAUGCGCAGAUAUCAGGAGGAACACCGGUGGCGAAGGCGGGUCUCUGGGCCGAUACUGACGCUGAGGAGCGAAAGCGUGGGUAGCAAACAGG